SCHRMAUGRAMDRCUNCGGCGUGCCUAAACAUGCAAGUCGAGCGAAUGGAUUGAGAGCUUGCUCUCAAGAAGUUAGCGGCGGACGGGUGAGUAACACGUGGGUAACCUGCCCAUAAGACUGGGAUAACUCCGGGAAACCGGGGCUAAUACCGGAUAAYAUUUUGAACUGCAUGGUUCGAAAUUGAAAGGCGGCUUCGGCUGUCACUUAUGGAUGGACCCGCGUCGCAUUAGCUAGUUGGUGAGGUAACGGCUCACCAAGGCAACGAUGCGUAGCCGACCUGAGAGGGUGAUCGGCCACACUGGGACUGAGACACGGCCCAGACUCCUACGGGAGGCAGCAGUAGGGAAUCUUCCGCAAUGGACGAAAGUCUGACGGAGCAACGCCGCGUGAGUGAUGAAGGCUUUCGGGUCGUAAAACUCUGUUGUUAGGGAAGAACAAGUGCUAGUUGAAUAAGCUGGCACCUUGACGGUACCUAACCAGAAAGCCACGGCUAACUACGUGCCAGCAGCCGCGGUAAUACGUAGGUGGCAAGCGUUAUCCGGAAUUAUUGGGCCGUAAAGCGCGCGCAGGUGGUUUCUUAAGUCUGAUGUGAAAGCCCACGGCUCAACCGUGGAGGGUCAUUGGAAACUGGGAGACUUGAGUGCAGAAGAGAAAGUGGAAUUCC
rnacentral:rRNA from 1 species